GAGGGUAGAAAUUUAGCAACACUUUUCCAGCAGGAUCUCUUGCAAGAAGAAAAUAAUCUCCAAAUUCGACUUGUCAAUUUUAUUUCUCAUGAAAAUAGCAAGUUAACUCAAAGAAUUUAUCACACAAAUAGUUAUGUAAUUUCUUAUUUUGCUCUUUUAGUUUCAAUCAACACAUCUUCCCAUUAG
rnacentral:rRNA from 1 species